UGGGGAAUAUUGGACAAUGGGCGGAAGCCUGAUCCAGCAACGCCGCGUGAGGGAUGACGGCCUUCGGGUUGUAAACCUCUUUCAGUACCGACGAAGCGAAAGUGACGGUAGGUACAGAAGAAGGACCGGCCAACUACGUGCCAGCAGCCGCGGUAAUACGUAGGGUCCGAGCGUUGUCCGGAAUUAUUGGGCGUAAAGGGCUCGUAGGCGGUUUGUCGCGUCGGGAGUGAAAACAGCGGGCUUAACUCGUUGCUUGCUUUCGAUACGGGCAGACUAGAGGUAUGCAGGGGAGAAUGGAAUUCCUGGUGUAGCGGUGAAAUGCGCAGAUAUCAGGAGGAACACCGGUGGCGAAGGCGGUUCUCUGGGCAUUACCUGACGCUGAGGAGCGAAAGUGUGGGGAGCGAACAGGAUUAGAU
rnacentral:rRNA from 1 species